UACGGAAGGUGCAAGCGUUGUUCGGAAUGACUGGGCGUAAAGCGCACGUAGGCGGCUUUGUAAGUCGGAUGUGAAAUCCCUGGGCUCAACCCAGGAACUGCAUCCGAAACUACUUAGCUUGAAUGCUUGAGAGGUUGGUGGAAUUCCAGGUGUAGGAGUGAAAUCCGUAGAUAUCUGGAGGAACAUCGGAGGCGAAGGCGGCCAACUGGCGAUGCAUUGACGCUAAGGUGCGAAAGCGUGGGGAGCAAACAGG
rnacentral:rRNA from 1 species